rnacentral:rRNA from 1 species
GUCCACGCCGUAAACGAUGAGUGCUAGCCGUUGGACAGCUUGCUGUUCAGUGGCGCAGCUAACGCGUUAAGCACUCCGCCUGGGGAGUACGGUCGCAAGAUUAAAACUCAAAGGAAUUGACGGGGGCCCCGCACAAGCGGUGGAGCAUGUGGUUUAAUUCGAUGCAACGCGAAGAACCUUACCAGCCCUUGACAUGUCCGGACGACUGGCAGAGAUGCCUUUCUCCUAGCAAUAGGUCGGAACACAGGUGCUGCAUGGCUGUCGU